UGAAGAUACUAAUCAUAAUAUUGUUGACGACACGUAUGAACCAGAUUUGACAUCUAUAGCAGGUUCUAACAACAUGCACUAGGAUGAUACAGUAAUGAUUCAUUGCACUAUUCGUACAGAACUGCAGAAAUUAAUGCUCCAUUCCUCCUUUAUAAGUCUUGAGCUAAGGGAAGACACUCUUAAACUAUCCAUCUUAUGGUCUGAAACCAAUUCAUAGAAAUCAUAAACGACUUUGACACUACUGGGCCUCCGAGUUCGCGGUCAGCACACAAAAACUACUAGAAGGAGGGGAAAAACUAUUGAUGUCUCUAAGAAGCGAUGAGCUUGAUCUUGUUUUAUUUUCCAUUGCAUCUUUACUUCCAUGUCAUGUUUGCGUGGAGCUUGUAUCUUCAGACUGUUAGUUUUAUAUUCUCAUAUUCUGAAACUUGUAGCUUCAGACUGUCAUGUUUACGUUGGAUUUAAAAUUUUGCCCUACAAUAUUUGAAGUUACAGUAUUAUUCUGCAACAUUAUUAAU